UGAAUUCACAAGUCUGGACAGCUGCAGUCACGUGUGCUGGCUGGAGCCGCUUCAAGUGAGAUUUGAAGACCUCCUUCUCCCACUGCCGAAUCUGGAGUCUGUCUCUGUUGAGGCUGACCUACCAUCGGACACUUACCGGGCUAGGAUCUGGCAUAGCCUGUGGGAACGGCUCAGCAGCUCUCCUGAAGCACAUAUGUCGACCCUGCGACUAGGCCCAAGCCCUCCCAGUCAGCAGCUUUGGCUGCAAUUAUGUGAGGGUCUAGCACCCUUUGUGGUACAUUGGCAGUCACGUGGACUGUUGGCAGGAUUUGUGGCACCCAAGAAGAUUCAUAUCUUGCUCACCUUGGAAUCCCGUGGACCACACCUUGUUGCAUCCUUGCUGGUUGAGGACUUGUCAUUGCUGCCUAGGGUACAAGCAUUUCUGCAGUCCUUGUGCAUUCUUUCAUAGCACUGCAGGGUUUCAUGAAUUGCCUGUACCAUAAGACUGUUCACCAUCACUGCUAUUUAGUUACUUUCACUUUGAACAUGCUUGUAGAAAGACUUUCAGAGCCAGGUGAUGAGGGCAGAUGACACAGGAUGAAAUAUGUCUGUGCCUUUAGUGCUAGGGCCAGUAUGCUUUCUGCAGGUGUCUAUGAGCAUACCCUACAAAGAAUUUUACAGUUGAUGUAUUUUUUAUAUAAAAUUCAUUAUGAUGUCUGAAUAGUGUAUACCAGAACACAGCGAGCUCUGUGUGUGCUGCCAUAUUGAGAAUUCUUGUUGCGCCGUCUGUUGCAAGCACGGCGAAGCAACACCCUGCACUGCCGCGCAAACAGACGCUCCGCAAAUCGAACGCGAAAUUUCACCACCCAAGUCCGGCUGUAAGCAUGUUACGUGUUUUUCUUCUCCUGAAAUAUUGUGCUGUUUUCAUGUGAAACGCCAAGGAGACCUUCCUCGACAGUCCAGAAUGUCUACAGCACGUGCAUUGUGGACUACGGAAGCAACUUCAUCAGGUACUUACUAUGGCGAUAAAAAGAAGCACGAACAGUGGAGAGCAUUGCUUUCAACUCGGUCAAAAGGCAGCAUGCCUUGACUGUAACAAGGCAAAACUUGUGCUGUAAGCCAACGUCUCUGUAGAGUUAUAGGAUCCUCUUCUGACUUGCGCUCAUGCACUGCAUAUGCUUAUCUUUGGCCAGUCAUGCCUUGCUUGCAGGACACACACAAGUGGUGUGAAAGUGUCAGCCAGAGCAAGACUUACGGGGCUGCAGUGAGGCCGACUGAAAGCAGAUUUGCCUAGCGACAGUCAAGGCAUGCCACACCGCAGUUCGACUGAGUUGAAAGACACAUUUUUCCCUGCAGUGUUGACAUUUCUUUGUUGUGCUUACACGCAUGCGUUAGUCUUAAAAUAUUAUGUUAUUGUCAUGCGGCCUGGGAAAGAGUACGGCAACGAAUAUGUGCCACUUACUACACGUGUACUGCUCACCAUUUAAUCACUGCUGUAGAGCAAACCAGAUUGUGUGGUGCUUGAAUAAACGCACUAGGUGUACUUAUUCGUUUAC